rnacentral:rRNA from 1 species
CCUACGGGAGGCUGCAGUGAGGAAUAUUGGUCAAUGGGCGUAAGCCUGAACCAGCCAAGCCGCGUGAGGGAUGAAGGUUCUAUGGAUCGUAAACCUCUUUUAUAAGGGAAUAAAGUGUGGGACGUGUCCUAUUUUGUAUGUACCUUAUGAAUAAGGAUCGGCUAACUCCGUGCCAGCAGCCGCGGUAAUACGGAGGAUCCGAGCGUUAUCCGGAUUUAUUGGGUUUAAAGGGUGCGUAGGCGGCCUUUUAAGUCAGCGGUGAAAGUCUGUGGCUCAACCAUAGAAUUGCCGUUGAAACUGGGGGGCUUGAGUAUGUUUGAGGCAGGCGGACUGCGUGGUGUAGCGGUGAAAUGCUUAGAUAUCACGCAGAACCCCGAUUGCGACGGCAGCCUGCCACGCCAUGCCUGACGCUGAUGCACGACAGCGUGGGGAUCAAACAGGAUUAGAUACCCUUGUAGUC